CGGAUGUUCAUGACGUCAUCCUGAAGGCGAGCGGAGAAAGCGAGUGGAGAGGGGGGAGCCGCGCUUCACAUCAAAUGUCCCCUGUGGCCAUGGCAACAGCUUUGGGGGAGGGGGUGCCGGUCCGCGGGCCAGCAGCGGGCAGCCUGCGACUCCUGCCAGGGUCCAGCGCUCCGCUGGGGUAGAGUCCGUCAUUAGUGCUGAAUCCAGUUGUGCCCGGACCAGAAGAGACACCAGAGCCAGUCCCGUCCCCUCCCCGGGCUGGUCAUAGCAGGGCCAUUUCCUAUUCUUCCACCACCUUACCUGGGCAGGUCAGACCCGGUUCACCUGACCGCUCACAGACGUAUUCU
rnacentral:lncRNA from 1 species